rnacentral:tmRNA from 1 species
GGGGGCGUCACGGUUUCGACGGCUGGCCUGAGGUCGGAGUGGCAUGCCGAGGAUGAUUCGUUGGCCUCGUUAAUCACCGGAUCAAAACAAACAAACGCAGACUCUAACGAGCUCGCACUCGCGGCUUAAGCCCCGCGACAUUCCACUGGUGAUGCCUGGUAGCCAGCGGGAUGCAACCACCAGGCUGGUCGGUUGACCGGGUUUCCGGGUCGAAGACGAGAUUCCACAGGAAACUGGGCGAAGGGAAUGCUGCUGAUCGCAGUCCCAAGCCGAGAUCAAAAGAUCAGAUAAGCAUGUAGAAGCUCCGGUUUAUGGUCAGUCGGACAGGGGUUCAACUCCCCUCGCCUCCACCA